rnacentral:rRNA from 1 species
AACGAACGCUGGCGGCAGGCUUAACACAUGCAAGUCGAGCGCCCCGCAAGGGGAGCGGCAGACGGGUGAGUAACGCGUGGGAAUCUACCCAUCUCUACGGAAUAACGCAUGGAAACGUGUGCUAAUACCGUAUACGUCCUUCGGGAGAAAGAUUUAUCGGAGAUGGAUGAGCCCGCGUUGGAUUAGCUAGUUGGUGGGGUAAAGGCCUACCAAGGCGACGAUCCAUAGCUGGUCUGAGAGAAUGAUCAGCCACACUGGGACUGAGACACGGCCCAGACUCCUACAGGAGGCAGCAGUGGGGAAUAUUGGACAAUGGGCGCAAGCCUGAUCCAGCCAUGCCGCGUGAGUGAUGAAGGCCCUAGGGUUGUAAAGCUCUUUCACCGGUGAAGAUAAUGACGGUAACCGGAGAAGAAGCCCCGGCUAACUUCGUGCCAGCAGCCGCGGUAACAC